UACGUAGGGUGCAAGCGUUUUCCGGAAUUAUUGGGCGUAAAGAGCUCGUAGGCGGUUCGUCGCGUCGGCUGUGAAAUCCCGAGGCUCAACCUCGGGUCUGCAGUCGAUACGGGCGGACUGGAGUACUGCAGGGGAGACUGGAAUUCCUGGUGUAGCGGUGAAAUGCGCAGAUGUCAGGAGGAACACCGGUGGCGAAGGCGGGUCUCUGGGCAGUUACUGACGCUGAGGCGCGAAAGCGUGGGGAGCAAACGGG
rnacentral:rRNA from 1 species